rnacentral:rRNA from 1 species
UCCUGGCUCAGCGCGAACGCUGGCGGCGUGCCUAACACAUGCAAGUCGUGCGGAGGGGUGAUGAGCCCCUCAGCGGCAAACGGGUGAGUAACACGUGAGUAACCUGCCCCUGGGAAGGGGAUAACCCUCCGAAAGGGGGGCUAAUACCCUAUAUUGCCGGGGACCACUAAGGUCACCCGGUGAAAGGUGGCCUCUGCCCUUCAUGGGUAUGCUACCGCCCAGGGAGGGGCUCGCGGCCCAUCAGGUAGUUGGUGGGGUAACGGCCUACCAAGCCUAUGACGGGUAGCCGGCCUGAGAGGGUGGCCGGCCACAGUGGGACUGAGACACGGCCCACACCCCUACGGGGGGCAGCAGUGGGGAAUCGUGGGCAAUGGGCGAAAGCCUGACCCCGCGACGCCGCGUGGGGGAUGAAGCCCUUCGGGGUGUAAACCCCUGUCGGGGGGGACGAUGUGUCCUGGGGUGAAUAAUCCCAGGGCAUGACGGUACCCCCAGAGGAAGGGACGGCUAACUACGUGCCAGCAGCCGCGGUAAUACGUAGGUCCCGAACGUUUGCACGA